AUGGGGGUCAUUCCUUAUCUCUGUCUCCUCCUGUCUUGUCUGGCAGGCGUGCGGUCCGACAUCGUGCUGACACAGCCCGAGUCAGCGGUGGUAAAGCCCGGAGACUCCCACAGACUGACCUGUGCGGUCAGUGGGUUCGAUAUCAACAACUACUACAUGAGCUGGGUGAAACAGGUCCCGGGAAAGGGCUGGGGUGGUUGGCAACGCAUAGAAUAGAAUGUUACAAGUAUUACGCGCCUGGAGUUCAGAGCCGAUUCACCGCUUCCAAGGAGAGCAGCAACUUUUAUCUGCAAAUGAACAACCUGCGAGUGUGUGAGAGAAGCGGAGGUUAUCGUACGGCGGUGUAUCACUGUGACUGUACUAUGUGAUGGCACAGUGUGACAGAUGGCGGAUCCCUCC